CAAAAUUUCCUGGCUAGGGCAUAUCGGGGAAUUGUAUGCAACGUUUCCAAGCUCUCCUUGUUCUCUAAUACAACCUAAUACAUCUUUUAUGAUUUCAGAAGAACAGGCAACCACGCAGAAUUCAGGGGCACCACAGUCCAAGAGAUCAAGGAAGUCUUUUCCCAAAUGGAAUCCAGGGAAUGGCUUGAGGAAACCCCAGAAUGACAAGACCUUCAGGUCCAUUGUGGAAGAGGCAGAGGCAAGUCUUCAGCAAAGUCCUGCUACACCUUCUGGCCGAAGAGAAAGUCACCCUGUCAGCAUCCUGGUCAAGUCCUGCCCUUCGGAGGCAACGUCUCCACAGUCUUCCUGUCUCUUCCAGGCAACCUCUGCUUUCCAAACAAUCUAUGCAGCUGGAAUAUCCCAGAGAGGGGCAACAAGGCCAAGCCAAGGGAGCAGAGAUAGUGCUACCAUAGCAACAAGAAGGAAAUCAGAUGAUCUCGUAACACAAUGCCAGAAACACAUCUUUAUCAACAGGGAAGAGAAGAUGGAGCAACUGGAACGCAUGGUCCUGGGUCUUCGUCAAGAAGUCCUCUCCUUGAAACAGAAAGUUCAGCGCCUAGAAGCUGCCUCUUUUAAGGAACCAGAACUUGGUUGCCAACCCUGUGAGGUGCCUGAACAUUUCAACGGGUACACCAAGGAACAACUCAAAGAGGCCAUUCGGUUUGACCAGAAAAUCAGCACGGCAUGCAAAACCCUUCUCUACAAGCUCUUCACCUCAGACUACAUCCAAAGCCAUUCCAUCACCGGGAGGCGAGGGAAUACCUUCCGGGAGGCAAAACCGAUGAUGGACGAGAGAUGUAUCAAGGUCAUUAGGGUUUUGCUCAAGCAGAGGUUCGGGGACCAUCUCAGCGACACGGUGAUCACAGAGAAGAUCCAAAACGUGCAGAAAGCUCUGAGGCAGAAAUAUAAGACGGAAUGUCUGUAAUUAGCACCCCUUUUUUGAAUUGGGGCAACUCUAUUAUUCUCUUGUGUCAAAAAGGGGAAAAAAUCUUUUACUCCUUGGAAAUAUACAGGUUUUAGGCGGCAAAAGGUUUUCAUGGAAUGAAGCCUGUUGGAAUUAGAUGAAAGAGAUGACAAGGUUAUGCUGAGGAAAACGUGAGGAAAAACUGCAAGAAGUGGGCCUGUUUAGCCUUGAGAAAAGAAGACUGAGGGAAGAUAGGAUAGCAUUUUUCAAAUAUAUACUAGAAAGGCUGUCAUUCAGAGGAGGGGCAGGAUCUGUUCUCGAUCAUCCCAGAGUGCAGGAUAUGCAACAAUGGGCUGAAGUUACAGGAAGCCAGAUUUUGAUUGAAUAUCAGAAAAAAAAACCUCCUAACUGUUGUACUCCUCGGGAGUUGGUGAGUGCUCCAACACUGGAGGCAUUCAAGAAAAACUUCGAUAAUCACCUAUGCUUUCAUUGUAUUCCUGCAUUGAGCAGGAGUUUGGACUCAAUGGCCUUAUAGGCCCCUUCUAACUUCAUGAUUCUAUGAUUCAGGCUGUCUUGAGUCUUUUUGUUGUUUCUAACAAGCCAAACGACAACCCCAACUGUCAAUUAUCAAAUGUAAUGUGCCUAUGUUCUCAUUGCCACCAGUAGAAGCUGUGACAUGCCUGUUGUCAUCAAACCUCUCAGCAACAACAAUAACAACAAAGAAUCUGUGUUGUUCAAUAUAUUCACGAAGGCUUUCACGGCCAGGAUCUAAUGGUUGUUGUGUGUUUUUUAGGCUCUUUGGCCGUGUUCUGAAGGUUGUUCUUCCUGACGUUUCUCCAGUCUCUGUGGCCGGCAUNNNNNNNNNNNNNNNNNNNNNNNNNNNNNNNNNNNNNNNNAACCUUCAGAACACGGCCAAAGAGCCCGAAAAACGCACAACAACCAAUCUGUGUUGUCCUCCAGUCUUAAAAAAUUAUUCUGAAUUUGAAGAUUCUUUUUAGGCACAGUUUGUGCACUGUUGCCAUAUGGCUACUGAGAAAAACAGAUCAAACACUGUUCUUCCAAGAUCUAGAAUCUGCUUCUUGAAACGAAUCCCAACAAAGCUAAUCUUCAGCUUCAUGGUAACACCCCUCACUGAAUAUCCACACAUUCUUGGACUUUCUGUUUUGUUUGUCUGGUGGCUACAUUUGUGAUGAAAUCUUGGUUUUUCAGUGAGAUACAGAGAAUUCAGUGAGUGAGACAGAGAGUGAGUGAGUGAGAUACAGAGAAUUCAGAGUUAGGUGAAUUUUUUUUUUUAGUCAGUGAAGCUGUGGCAUCAGAAGGAAGAAGGGAUGAGCAAAGAGCAGGUCUGAUAAUUAAAAUGAACCUCAAAUGAAAUGUUAUAUAUUUACGAACACACUUCAGGUUACAUAAUGGUUUUCAACUACAGUACAGUAUAUGCUUCUCCAGAGCCAGGCAAAAACACUUCAAUAAGUGUAAUUCAACAAAACCUGGUGUUCCAUGACAUUUAACACGAGAACAUUCUUUGUACAAACACAUCAGAACAUUUACAAAUGUCACCACUGGCAGAUACAUAGAAAUUAAUAGAUAGAUAGAUAGAUAGAUAGAUAGAUAGAUAGAUAGAUAGAUAGAUAGAUAGAUAGAUAGAUAGAUAGAUAGACAGACAGACAGACAGACAGACAGACAGACAGACAGACAGACAGACAGACAGACAGACAGACAGACAGACAGACAGACAGAUAGAUAGAUAGAUAGAUAGAUAGAUAGAUAGAUAGAUAGAUAGAUAGAUAGAUAGAUAGAUAGAUAGAUAGAUAGAUAGAUAGAUAGAUAGAUAGAUAGAUAGAGUGGAUGCAAGUGCAUUCGAACCCAGGGUCACACAGUAAAGCAAAACGGAGGAAGAACAGAUGGAAUAAAUUGUUUCUUCCCACUAUGUGUAGUUAGAUU
ensembl:lncRNA